rnacentral:snoRNA from 1 species
GAAGAGAAUGUGUUAUGAACCAAGGAUUAUGAGUGAUCUAAUUCUAUGUACCUGA